GGGUUGUGAGGUUAAGCGACUAAGCGUACACGGUGGAUGCCCUGGCAGUCAGAGGCGAUGAAGGACGUGCUAAUCUGCGAUAAGCGUCGGUAAGGUGAUAUGAACCGUUAUAACCGGCGAUUUCCGAAUGGGGAAACCCAGUGUGAUUCGUCACACUAUCAUUAACUGAAUCCAUAGGUUAAUGAGGCGAACCGGGGGAACUGAAACAUCUAAGUACCCCGAGGAAAAGAAAUCAACCGAGAUUCCCCCAGUAGCGGCGAGCGAACGGGGAGGAGCCCAGAGCCUGAAUCAGUGUGUGUGUUAGUGGAAGCGUCUGGAAAGGCGCGCGAUACAGGGUGACAGCCCCGUACACAAAAAUGCACAUACUGUGAGCUCGAUGAGUAGGGCGGGACACGUGGUAUCCUGUCUGAAUAUGGGGGGACCAUCCUCCAAGGCUAAAUACUCCUGACUGACCGAUAGUGAACCAGUACCGUGAGGGAAAGGCGAAAAGAACCCCGGCGAGGGGAGUGAAAAAGAACCUGAAACCGUGUACGUACAAGCAGUGGGAGCCUCUUUUAUGGGGUGACUGCGUACCUUUUGUAUAAUGGGUCAGCGACUUAUAUUCUGUAGCAAGGUUAACCGAAUAGGGGAGCCGAAGGGAAACCGAGUCUUAACCGGGCGUUAAGUUGCAGGGUAUAGACCCGAAACCCGGUGAUCUAGCCAUGGGCAGGUUGAAGGUUGGGUAACACUAACUGGAGGACCGAACCGACUAAUGUUGAAAAAUUAGCGGAUGACUUGUGGCUGGGGGUGAAAGGCCAAUCAAACCGGGAGAUAGCUGGUUCUCCCCGAAAGCUAUUUAGGUAGCGCCUCGUGAAUUCAUCUCCGGGGGUAGAGCACUGUUUCGGCAAGGGGGUCAUCCCGACUUACCAACCCGAUGCAAACUGCGAAUACCGGAGAAUGUUAUCACGGGAGGCACACGGCGGGUGCUAACGUCCGUCGUGAAGAGGGAAACAACCCAGACCGCCAGCUAAGGUCCCAAAGUCAUGGUUAAGUGGGAAACGAUGUGGGAAGGCCCAGACAGCCAGGAUGUUGGCUUAGAAGCAGCCAUCAUUUAAAGAAAGCGUAAUAGCUCACUGGUCGAGUCGGCCUGCGCGGAAGAUGUAACGGGGCUAAACCAUGCACCGAAGCUGCGGCAGCGACACUGUGUGUUGUUGGGUAGGGGAGCGUUCUGUAAGCCUGUGAAGGUGUACUGUGAGGUAUGCUGGAGGUAUCAGAAGUGCGAAUGCUGACAUAAGUAACGAUAAAGCGGGUGAAAAGCCCGCUCGCCGGAAGACCAAGGGUUCCUGUCCAACGUUAAUCGGGGCAGGGUGAGUCGACCCCUAAGGCGAGGCCGAAAGGCGUAGUCGAUGGGAAACAGGUUAAUAUUCCUGUACUUGGUGUUACUGCGAAGGGGGGACGGAGAAGGCUAUGUUGGCCGGGCGACGGUUGUCCCGGUUUAAGCGUGUAGGCUGGUUUUCCAGGCAAAUCCGGAAAAUCAAGGCUGAGGCGUGAUGACGAGGCACUACGGUGCUGAAGCAACAAAUGCCCUGCUUCCAGGAAAAGCCUCUAAGCAUCAGGUAACAUCAAAUCGUACCCCAAACCGACACAGGUGGUCAGGUAGAGAAUACCAAGGCGCUUGAGAGAACUCGGGUGAAGGAACUAGGCAAAAUGGUGCCGUAACUUCGGGAGAAGGCACGCUGAUAUGUAGGUGAAGUCCCUCGCGGAUGGAGCUGAAAUCAGUCGAAGAUACCAGCUGGCUGCAACUGUUUAUUAAAAACACAGCACUGUGCAAACACGAAAGUGGACGUAUACGGUGUGACGCCUGCCCGGUGCCGGAAGGUUAAUUGAUGGGGUCAGCGCAAGCGAAGCUCUUGAUCGAAGCCCCGGUAAACGGCGGCCGUAACUAUAACGGUCCUAAGGUAGCGAAAUUCCUUGUCGGGUAAGUUCCGACCUGCACGAAUGGCGUAAUGAUGGCCAGGCUGUCUCCACCCGAGACUCAGUGAAAUUGAACUCGCUGUGAAGAUGCAGUGUACCCGCGGCAAGACGGAAAGACCCCGUGAACCUUUACUAUAGCUUGACACUGAACAUUGAGCCUUGAUGUGUAGGAUAGGUGGGAGGCUUUGAAGUGUGGACGCCAGUCUGCAUGGAGCCGACCUUGAAAUACCACCCUUUAAUGUUUGAUGUUCUAACGUGGACCCGUGAUCCGGGUUGCGGACAGUGUCUGGUGGGUAGUUUGACUGGGGCGGUCUCCUCCUAAAGAGUAACGGAGGAGCACGAAGGUUGGCUAAUCCUGGUCGGACAUCAGGAGGUUAGUGCAAUGGCAUAAGCCAGCUUGACUGCGAGCGUGACGGCGCGAGCAGGUGCGAAAGCAGGUCAUAGUGAUCCGGUGGUUCUGAAUGGAAGGGCCAUCGCUCAACGGAUAAAAGGUACUCCGGGGAUAACAGGCUGAUACCGCCCAAGAGUUCAUAUCGACGGCGGUGUUUGGCACCUCGAUGUCGGCUCAUCACAUCCUGGGGCUGAAGUAGGUCCCAAGGGUAUGGCUGUUCGCCAUUUAAAGUGGUACGCGAGCUGGGUUUAGAACGUCGUGAGACAGUUCGGUCCCUAUCUGCCGUGGGCGCUGGAGAACUGAGGGGGGCUGCUCCUAGUACGAGAGGACCGGAGUGGACGCAUCACUGGUGUUCGGGUUGUCAUGCCAAUGGCACUGCCCGGUAGCUAAAUGCGGAAGAGAUAAGUGCUGAAAGCAUCUAAGCACGAAACUUGCCCCGAGAUGAGUUCUCCCUGACCCUUUAAGGGUCCUGAAGGAACGUUGAAGACGACGACGUUGAUAGGCCGGGUGUGUAAGCGCAGCGAUGCGUUGAGCUAACCGGUACUAAUGAACCGUGAGGCUUAACCUUACAACGCCGAAGGUGUUU
rnacentral:rRNA from 1 species